UCUCUGGUGGCUCAGACGGUAAAGAAUCUGCCUGCAAUGCAGGAGACCCAGGUUCAAUCCCUGGGUUGGGAA
rnacentral:tRNA from 1 species